CAGGGAUUCCCCUAGUAAUGGCGAAUGACCAGGGAAAAGCCCAACUUUAAAAUCACUUAACCGUGAAUUGUAGUUUAUAAAAAGGGUAGAAUUAUAUUAUCUUAUCUUAAGUUUCUUGAAAAAGUACUACAAAGAGGGUGAAAUUCCCGUUUUGGCAUAAGUAAUAAUAUAAAACUUAACUUUUUAGAGUCAUGUUGCUUGUGAAUGCAGCAUAAAAUGGGAGGUAAAUUCCUUCUAAGGCUAAAUACUGGUAGGAGUCCGAUAGUAAACAAGUACCUUAAGGGAAAGAUGAAAGAGAACCUUGAAAAGGGUCUCAAAAGAAAGUGAAAUUGUUAUAAGGAAACCACUUAAAACUUCUGGAGUUUAUAUAUUAAUGUAUAAGGGAGCAAUCCUUUUGUCCUUAGUAUAUAGAUGGCUAUUGCUAAAGUUUGAGCUUAUAAAAAUUAUGAGGGGGAGGUAAGUUAAAUCUAGGUUUAACUUCUUAUAACCCUUUUAAUUUUUUAAAGUUUAAGCUGGUGUACAAAGUCAUAAGGUAGCUAGCUCUUAAUAUAAAUAUUAUAAUAGAUUUAUCUAAAGUUUUAUUUAUAGUAAGGUCUAUCACUAUCGCUAUGCUUUAAUAGUUAAGGAGACUUAAGUGACCCGUCUUGAAACACGGACCAAGGAGUCUAACAUAUAUGCAAGUAUUAUGGUGUAAAAACUAAAAUGCGUAAUGAAAGUAAUUUCUGGGUAGGAACUCGAAAGAGCGCACUAUCGACCGAGCUAUAGGGAUUUUUUUCUAUGGUUUGAGUAAGAGCAUAUAUGUUGGUACCCGAAAGAUGGUGAACUAUACCUGAAUAGGGUGAAGCCAGGGGAAACCCUGGUGGAAGCUCGUAGCGAUUCUGACGUGCAAAUCGAUCGUCGAAUUUGGGUAUAGGGGGCGAAAGACUA
rnacentral:rRNA from 1 species